CUAGACCUAGCUGCUAUAGAAGUUCCAUCUAUNAAAAGGAUAAGAUCCCGGUCUUAUUGUAUAGGAGUUAUUGAAAAAUAAAGGAGCAAUAAUAACCUUCUUGUUCUAUCAAGAGGGUCGAUAUUGCUCCUUUAUUUUCUUUUUUUAUACUUUUUUUUUGAACUCUUAGAUACACUUUUAUUCUUUGAUUUGUCUGUAAUACAAAGAAAAAAGCUAUUUUGAUGAGGUUCGUUCAUGGUUGAGCAUCAUAUUUUUUUUUUUUUCGAAUUUUCAUUUUUUAUAAUUGAAUUUUUUAUAAAAUUAAUAAAAUAAAACCAAAAGAAUAAAAAAUGAAAAUAUUUCAUAAAUAAUAAAAUAAAAAUGAAAUUUUCAAAAGGUAAUUUUCAAUUGAAAAUUAAAAUAGAAUUAUAAUAGAAUAUUCUAAAAUAAUAUAGAUUCAAAUGAAAUAUUCUAAAUUAUUUAGAAUAUGCACU
rnacentral:misc_RNA from 1 species